GGGUUUAGACUGUCGCGGUUCAGUUCGCUGAAUCGAGGAAAGUCCGGACAUCGCAGGGCAGAAUGCUGGCUAACGGCCAGGCGGGGAAACCCGACGGCAAGUGCAACAGAAAGUAAACCGCCUGCCUGACCGCAAGGACAGGCCGGUAAGGGUGAAACGGUGAGGUAAGAGCUCACCAGCAGUCCUGGUAACAGGCUGGCUAGGUAAACCCCAUUCGAUGCAAGGCCAAACAAAGGGGUUCCGACGGCUUCAUAAGACGUACGUAGCGUUGAGGGCGACCUUAAUUUAUGUUCGGAUGUUGAGGAUCAAAGGAACAAGAUCGGCCCGAUCCAGCCCUUGGGUAGGCCGCCCGAGGUUGACGGUAACGUCAAUCCCAGAUUAAUGACAGUCGGGGUCUUUCGGGACUCGACAGAAUCCGGCUUAUAACAGCCCACUA
rnacentral:RNase_P_RNA from 1 species